GUCCCCUUAGCUCAAUGGAUAGAGCCCGUGCCUUCUAAGCACGUGAUCCAGGUUCGAUUCCUGGAGGGGGCACGA
rnacentral:tRNA from 3 species